CAGUAGCCGCGGGAAUACGAAGGGUGCAAGCGUUAAUCGGAAUUACUGGGCGUAAAGCGCACGCAGGCGGUUUGUUAAGUCAGAUGUGAAAUCCCCGAGCUUAACUUGGGAACUGCAUUUGAAACUGGCAAGCUAGAGUCUUGUAGAGGGGGGUAGAAUUCCAGGUGUAGCGGUGAAAUGCGUAGAGAUCUGGAGGAAUACCGGUGGCGAAGGCGGCCCCCUGGACAAAGACUGACGCUCAGGUGCGAAAGCGUGGGGAGCAAACAGGAUUAGAUACCCGCGUAGUCCCUGUCUCUUAUAC
rnacentral:rRNA from 1 species